GACGUAGGGCGCGAGCGUUGUCCGGAUUUAUUGGGCGUAAAGAGCUCGUAGGCGGCUUGUUGCGUCGACCGUGAAAACCCGGGGCUCAACUUCGGGCUUGCGGUCGAUACGGGCGGGCUAGAGUUCGGUAGGGGAGACUGGAAUUCCUGGUGUAGCGGUGAAAUGCGCAGAUAUCAGGAGGAACACCCGUGGCUAAGGCGGCUCUCUAGUACGGUACUGACGCUGAGACGCGAAAGCGUGGGGAGCGAACAGG
rnacentral:rRNA from 1 species